rnacentral:tRNA from 1 species
AAGGGUAGAGCUCAGUGGUAGAGCGCGUGCUUAAUUAAAUGCAUGAGGUCCUGGGUUCACUCCUCAGUACCUCCA